rnacentral:rRNA from 1 species
UAGGGAAUCUUCCACAAUGGGCGCAAGCCUGAUGGAGCAACGCCGCGUGAGUGAUGAAGGCCUUCGGGUUGUAAACUCUGUCUUCUGUGACGAAACAGUGCGUGAGUGGAAAGCUCGCACCUUGACGGUAACAGAGGAGGAAGCCACGGCUAACUACGUGCCAGCAGCCGCGGUAAUACGUAGGUGGCAAGCGUUGUCCGGAAUCACUGGGCGUAAAGCGCGCGCAGGCGGCGAUCUACGUCUGGGGUGAAAGCCCGGAGCUCAACUCCGGGACUGCCUUGGAUACGGGAUCGCUUGAGGAUUGGAGAGGCAAGGGGAAUUCCACGUGUAGCGGUGAAAUGCGUAGAUAUGUGGAGGAACACCUGUGGCGAAGGCGCCUUGCUGGCCAAUUUCUGACGCUGAGGCGCGAAAGUGUGGGGAGCAAACAGGAUUAGAUACCCUGGUAGUCCACGCCGUAAACGAUGAGUGCUAGGUG